rnacentral:lncRNA from 1 species
UCUUGUUCUUUAUCUUUUUCACAACAUAUUUAUUCUCUCAUUUAUAUAGAUUAUUCAUUAAGAUAGCAUCAAAUCCUUGACGAUAUUUGGUGGCUAAAGACCAUUCACAUCAGAAUUUUUGGAGAGAAGCCUUUCUUAACAGAAUUGCAUCGUAUAUUUUUGGGUGGGACAGUUAUUUAAAUAUUGAGUCACCCAAAUUAUAUCACCAUUGCUAUACCGAUGCUUCUGCUUCUUAAACUUGCUGCCAUCAUGCAAUUAACUGCUUGCUUUUCUUGUGUUUUCUUAAUAAAGUCGAAUUACCUAGCAAAUAAAACAGAGAUUCAGGAUCUAUUCUAAUUCUUAUACCGACUUUUUCUCCCCUUAGAUAACAUUAGAGUUAUUUCUAGUAAUAAUUAUUUCUGGAAAAGUACUCGACAAAUAGCAGGACUUUCAACAGAAUAACAAUUGCAAGAAUGAUGAUUUUUAUUUCAAACUGGGGGGGAAAGCUUAAACAGCCAGUGGUUAUUAUUUUCCAUCCAUUAGUUAAUGAGAGGAAUGAGAAGCAGAACAGAAUGUUGGAGGCUUAGCCCAUAAUUCGCUUAAUUGCUUCAUACUUAUUGUAAUUUGACAAAAUUUAUCUUUAAAAAUAGCAAGUUAUGAUCCGAUUUGUCAGGU